AAACAUGGCUCUUUGAUUUAUAUCUAUAGAGAGUCGAACCUGCCCAGUGAUGUAGUACAUUUAACGGCCGCAGUACCCUGACUGUGCAAAGGUAGCAUAAUCAUUUGCCCUAUAAUUGAGGGCUAGUAUGAAUGGUUUGACAAGAACACAACUGUCUCUGACAAAAUAAGUAAAAAUUAAAUUUCAGGUGAAGAUGCCUGAAUAAAACUAAAAGACGAGAAGACCCUGUUGAGCUUUAAAAAACUAAGCGGUUGACCUAAUGUUUUUUUUGGUUGGGGCGACCUAAGAACAUCCAAAGCUUCUUUAAUUAUUUAAGGCAUUUAGCAAUGAUCCAGUACAACUGAUUAAUUAAAUAAGCUACCGCAGGGAUAACAGCGUAAUUUUCUCUGAGAGUUCAUAUUAAAGAGAAAGUUUGCGACCUCGAUGUUGGACUAAAAUAUCCUAAAGGUGCAGAUGUCUUUAAGGGUUGGUCUGUUCGACCAUUAAAAUUUUA
rnacentral:rRNA from 1 species